rnacentral:rRNA from 1 species
GGAAUAUUGGGCAAUGGAGGAAACUCUGACCCAGCAACGCCGCGUGAAGGAAGAAGGUUUUCGGACUGUAAACUUCUGAUCUAAGGGAAAAAGAAAAUGAUGGUACCUUAGGAGAAAGCCACGGCUAACUACGUGCCAGCAGCCGCGGUAAUACGUAGGUGGCGAGCGUUGUCCGGAAUGACUGGGCGUAAAGGGAGCGUAGGUUGCAAUUUAAGUUAAAUGUGAAAGCCCGUGGCUCAACUACGGAACUGCAUUUAAUACUGGAUAGCUAGAGUACAGGAGGGGUGAGCGGAAUUCCUAGUGUAGCGGUGGAAUGCGUAGAUAUUAGGAAGAACACCGGAGGCGAAGGCGGCUCACUGGACUGCAACUGACACUGAGGCUCGAAAGCGUGGGGAGCAAACA